UCCCACUGGUAAAAUCAGACCAGUGACGUCUACGCUAUUUUUGCCUCCCUGAGGGCAUGGGCGCUGGUGGUGCUUGCAGCCCGGGGGCUCUGAGGGAAAAAAGUAUACGUGUUUUGACCCUAUCUUGUACCAACAGGGCGUCUUCAGCUCACCGCUCCCUCCUCCUCGGGACUUUCUCAGGUACCUGCCCAUCAGCCCCUGAGGCACAAACCUGGAGGAUCUGGUUCUUCUCAUCUAGCCAGGUCCUUGUGUGUCUGCUUUCCUCGGUAGAGUUGACAUUUCUUUUGCAGGUGGACUCAGAACAAAAGGUCCAAAGUGUGUGAGAGGGGGGAUGUCUGCUUUGGUCACUUCUCACCUGCAGGCUUUGGUCCAGCGGGGAGCGUAGGGCCUGAGUGUGGGGACAGUGCCCAGAGGCAGAGGUACUACUAACUGCAUGUCCAGGGGGACUUUGGGAGUAUUUAUAGGGCUGGCCUGGGAACAGGGCAGCUCUUGGAAGCAAGCUCCACUGACCUGGGCCAGGGGUUCUGUGACCGUUUCUGGGAAGGUUCGGGUUCAGUGCCCGUUGCCGUUUAUAAAAAAAAAUGGCUGGUGGAGAUGUGGCACCUGAGUGUGUGGGGGCUGCUUCUCUGGUAAUAAUCUCUCCGGGAGUGAGAACCACUUCUCGGUUUCAGACUAGAUGAGGCUGAGUGCAUUCAGUAUGGGUAAUAGUUGAGGACGGGGAGCCUCGGUGUCCAUCGGAAGAUGAAUGGAUAAAGAAGAGGUGGUUCAUGUAUACAACGGAAUAUUCCUCAGCCAUUAGAAACGACAAAUACCCACCAUUUGCUUCGACGUGGAUGGAACUGGAGGGUAUUAUGCUGAGUGAAGACCUUCCCUACACUAGUGUGGGCGUUCAGGACAACCAAGCAAUGUGAAGCUAUGGUUUUCACAGGCCCCUUGAGAUAUAGCACUGAAGAUUGGCAAUUAGAAAACAGAAGUAAAGGCACAACACACUAUGGCCUCCUAGCCUCAGGCAGAGGGGCCAGAGGGUGUGACUUCAGUUUUCAGACACUGGUUUUAUUGGGGAAACGAGGGGAAGAUACUCCUAUUCAUCCUUCCUUGCGGGCACUGCCUCUUGUGGAAGUACAGUCUCCCACGAGGGAUUCUAGAUUCAGGAUGACUGAUAUAGCUCCAUGAGGGUGGAUACUAUCUCUCAUCAUUUCAACCAAGGAAAGAAAUCAGUGGUAGUCUGAAAGUGGCUGGUGAGUACAUCUAACCACAGAAUUUUGAGUUGAGGAAAUGUUACUAUCAUGUUAACUUGGCCUUCUUAAACCUAACGUCCCAAAACAGUCUAAUGGCUUGUUGCCUUGUUUAUAAUCCAUAAAUCACCUGGCAAUGGAAAGUUCCUUUAAAAAUCCCCAGAAUAGGGC